AGCAGAGUUUGAUCCUGGCUCAGAUUGAACGCUGGCGGAAUGCUUUACACAUGCAAGUCGAGCGGCAGCGCGGGGGCAACCCUGGCGGCGAGCGGCGAACGGGUGAGUAAUACAUCGGAACGUGUCCUGUAGUGGGGGAUAGCCCGGCGAAAGCCGGAUUAAUACCGCAUACGAUCUACGGAAGAAAGCGGGGGAUCUUCGGACCUCGCGCUAUAGGGGCGGCCGAUGGCAGAUUAGCUAGUUGGUGGGGUAAAGGCCUACCAAGGCGACGAUCUGUAGCUGGUCUGAGAGGACGACCAGCCACACUGGGACUGAGACACGGCCCAGACUCCUACGGGAGGCAGCAGUGGGGAAUUUUGGACAAUGGGGGCAACCCUGAUCCAGCAAUGCCGCGUGUGUGAAGAAGGCCUUCGGGUUGUAAAGCACUUUUGUCCGGAAAGAAAACCUCUUGGUUAAUACCUGAGGGGGAUGACGGUACCGGAAGAAUAAGCACCGGCUAACUACGUGCCAGCAGCCGCGGUAAUCAAUCGC
rnacentral:rRNA from 1 species